GUGGUUCUGUAAUAAAGUACAGCAAAAAUACUACUCAUAAGCAGUGGCUCAAAAAGACCCCUGGCACUUUGUUGAACAUCCUUCAGAAUGCUGACCUCAGCUUGGCAUUUCAAACAUACACAAUAUAUAGACCAGGUUCGGAAGGGUUCUUGAAACGUCCCGUCUGAAGAAACAGAAGCAUCAGACAAUGUUGAUGGAGGUCAUGAUUCUGUCAUUUUGGAUCCAGAGUGACUUGAGCCUGGGCUAGAUGAGGAGGAUCACUUCUUUUGGAAGAACUAACAAUUUUUUCCCUUCAGUUGCGUUAUGGAACUCAUUUUUCAGAGGCUUAAAUGUUGUUAUGGUGGUGUUCCGCUUUGAAUUAAUCAACAGAUACUGUGGCCCUAAUGUAAAGGUUUAUGGUCCAAACUGUUUUUUCACAGGGACUUUGAGGAAGAAGAUGACAAUCCCGACCGGGUGUCAGAACUGAAGAAGCGAGCUGGAUGGCAAGGCCAGUGCGAUCCUGAGUCACACUGAGGAGAGGCUUCAAUAAGGAGUUCGUGUUGGGCUGAUAAUUAGUUAACACGAUGUAUAUAUUUUUUGGAAACAGAAUGAAGCGGAGGAAACGCUUAAUACUUAAAAUUGUUCUUGAUUAGUGGAGGAAAGUCUUAAUACUUAAAAUUGUUCUCGUGAGUUUGAAAAGUCUAAAACCCUUAAGUUUUGAACUCAAGGGAGAAGGUAUAGUAGAAUGAGUGUGAGCAUCAGGCUUUGCAGUCCUGUAGAACAGAAAGGGGCUGCUAGCCUGCCUCCACCUACUUGUGUAAUUGUGGGAAAUUACUUGACCUCUUUGAGCCCCAAUUUCCUUAACCAUAAAAUGAGGAUAAUAAUGCCUACCUCAGAGGGAUGCUGACCAUAGAUCAUUAUAGCACCCCGUAUGUUAUUAUUCACAUUAUGAUUUGUGUUUAUUAUUAUGUGACUCUUUUUACAUUUCCUAAAGGUUUGAGAAUAUAUUUAAUUAUGAUACAGUAAUGUGUGCAAUUUUUCAA